rnacentral:rRNA from 1 species
CAGCAGCCGCGGUAAUCCGGAGGGGGCUAGCGUUGUUCGGAAUUACUGGGCGUAAAGCGCACGUAGGCGGCUUGGUAAGUUAGAGGUGAAAGCCCGGAGCUCAACUCCGGAAUUGCCUUUAAGACUGCCGAGCUAGUAGGUGAGAGAGGUAAGUGGAAUUCCGAGUGUAGAGGUGAAAUUCGUAGAUAUUCGGAAGACCACCAGUGGCGAAGGCGGCUUUCUGGCUCAUUCUAGACGCUGAGGUGCGAAAGCGUGGGGAGCAAACAGGAUUAGAUACCCCCGUAGUCCCUGUCUCUUAUAA